UACGUAGGCAGCGAGCGUUGUUCGGAAUCAUUGGGCGUAAAGGGCGCGUAGGUGGUUCUGUAUGUCUACCGUGAAAGCGUACGGCUCAACCGUAUUUUGUCGGUGGAAACUGCAGGACUUGAGGCUGGGAGGGGCUGGUGGAAUUCCCUGUGUAGCGGUGAAAUGCGUAGAGAUGGGGGAGAACACUCGUGGCGAAGGCGGCCAGCUAGACCAGUUCUGACACUGAGGCGCGACAGCGUGGGGAGCAAACAGG
rnacentral:rRNA from 1 species